rnacentral:tRNA from 1 species
UCCCAAGUGGCCUUGUGGUUAAGGCUCAGCUUUGUUACUGCUGUGUUUCAGGUCUCUGCUGUGGUACGGGUUCUAUCCCUGGCUAGGGAA